rnacentral:rRNA from 1 species
UACGUAGGGUGCGAGCGUUACUCGGAAUUACUGGGCGUAAAGCGUGCGUAGGCGGUUCGCUGUGUCCGAUGUGAAAGCCCCGGGCUUAACCUGGGAAUGGCAUUGGAAACUGGCGGGCUUGAGUGUGGCAGAGGGGGGUGGAAUUCCGCGUGUAGCAGUGAAAUGCGUAGAGAUGCGGAGGAACACCGAUGGCGAAGGCAGCCCCCUGGGUUAACACUGACGCUCAGGCACGAAAGCGUGGGGAGCAAACAGG